UACGGAGGAUCCGAGCGUUAUCCGGAUUUAUUGGGUUUAAAAGGUGCGUAGGCGGUUUGAUAAGUUAGAGGUGAAAUGUCGGGGCUCAACCCCGAAACUGCCUCUAAUACUGUUGGACUAGAGAAUAGUUGCGGUAGGCGGAAUGUAUGGUGUAGCGGUGAAAUGCUUAGAGAUCAUACAGAACACCGAUUGCGAAGGCAGCUUACCAAACUAUAUCUGACGUUGAGGCACGAAAGCGUGGGUAGCAAACAGG
rnacentral:rRNA from 1 species